AUGGCUCAGAACGAACGCUGGCGGCGCGUCUUAAGCAUGCAAGUCGAACGGCAAGAGGUAGCAAUACCUCCUAGAGUGGCGGACUGGUGAGUAACACGUGGGUGACAUACCCUUCAGAUGGGGAUAGCUAUUAGAAAUAGUAGAUAAUACCGAAUACGAGCACAGGGGUUAGAGAUCUGUGAGGAAAGGAGCUAAGGCUCCGCUGAAGGAAUGGCCUGCGGCCCAUUAGCUAGUUGGUGAGGUAAGAGCCCACCAAGGCGAUGAUGGGUAUCCGGCCUUAGAGGGUGAACGGACACAUUGGGACUGAGAUACGGCCCAGACUCCUACGGGAGGCAGCAGCUAAGAAUAUUCCGCAAUGGACGAAAGUCUGACGGAGCGACGCCGCGUGGAUGAAGAAGGCCGGAAGGUUGUAAAAUCCUUUUGAAACUGAAGAAUAAGCGUUGUAGGGAAUGACAGCGUGGUGACAGUAGGUCUUGAAUAAGCAACGGCUAAUUACGUGCCAGCAGCAGC
rnacentral:rRNA from 1 species